GCGCACGUGGUAGGGGAGCGUUCUGUAGGCUGAUGAAGGUGCAUUGAGAAGUGUGCUGGAGGUAUCAGAAGUGCGAAUGCUGACAUGAGUAACGAUAAUGUGGGUGAAAAGCCCACACGCCGGAAGUCCCAGGUUUCCUGCACGACGUUAAUCGGAGCAGGGUGAGUCGGCCCCUAAGGCGAGGCUGAAGAGCGUAGUCGAUGGGAACCAGGUUAAUAUUCCUGGACUUUUUAUAAGUGGUGAAGUGGGGACGAAGAAGGCUAGGUGAGCCAGGCGUUGGUUGUCCUGGUACUUGCAUGUAGGGGGGAAGACUUGGCAAAUCCGGUUUUCCAUAACUCUGAGGUGCGAAGUGGUUCUGACCUUUUGGUACAGAGAAGUCAUUGAUGCCCGGCUUCCAGGAAAAGCUGCUAGCCAUAACUUAUAGAGAACCGUACCGCAAACCGACACAGGUGGACAGGUAGAGAAUACUAAGGCGCUUGAGAGAACUCGGGUGAAGGAACUAGGCAAAAUGGUACCGUAACUUCGGGAGAAGGUACGCCCUUUUGGGUGAGGGCAUUUACUGUCUGAGCUUAAGAGGGCCGCAGAGACCAGGUGGCUGCGACUGUUUAUUAAAAACACAGCACUCUGCAAAUUCGUAAGAAGACGUAUAGGGUGUGACGCCUGCCCGGUGCCGGAAGGUUAAUUGAUGGGGUUAUCUUCGGAGAAGCUCUUGAUCGAAGCCCCGGUAAACGGCGGCCGUAACUAUAACGGUCCUAAGGUAGCGAAAUUCCUUGUCGGGUAAGUUCCGACCUGCACGAAUGGCGUAACGAUGGCCACACUGUCUCCACCCGAGACUCAGUGAAAUUGAAAUCGCUGUGAAGAUGCAGUGUACCCGCGGCUAGACGGAAAGACCCCGUGAACCUUUACUAUAGUUUUGCACUGGACUUUGAUGAUGACUGUGUAGGAUAGGUGGGAGGCUGUGAAGUGAGGACGCUAGUUCUCAUGGAGCCGCCCUUGAAAUACCACCCUGUUGUUAUUGAGGUUCUAACUUGGUCCAGUAAUCCUGGAUGAGGACAGUGUAUGAUGGGUAGUUUGACUGGGGCGGUCUCCUCCCAAAGAGUAACGGAGGAGCACAAAGGUACCCUCGGUACGGUCGGACAUCGUACCAAGAGUGUAAAGGCAAAAGGGUGCUUGACUGCGAGAGUGACGGCUCGAGCAGGAACGAAAGUUGGUCUUAGUGAUCCGGUGGUUCUGAAUGGAAGGGCCAUCGCUCAACGGAUAAAAGGUACUCCGGGGAUAACAGGCUGAUACCGCCCAAGAGUUCAUAUCGACGGCGGUGUUUGGCACCUCGAUGUCGGCUCAUCACAUCCUGGGGCUGAAGCAGGUCCCAAGGGUAUGGCUGUUCGCCAUUUAAAGUGGUACGCGAGCUGGGUUUAGAACGUCGUGAGACAGUUCGGUCCCUAUCUGCCGUGGGCGUAGGAAAAUUGAGAGGAGCUGCUCCUAGUACGAGAGGACCGGAGUGGACGAACCUCUGGUGCACCGGUUGUCACGCCAGUGGCAUGGCCGGGUAGCUAAGUUCGGACGGGAUAACCGCUGAAAGCAUCUAAGCGGGAAGCCUCCCUCAAGAUGAGUUUUCCCAUGAAGCCCGUUGAAGACUACGACGUUGAUAGGCAAGGUGUGGAAGCGCAGUAAUGCGUGAAGCUAACUUGUACUAAUUGGCUGAUUGUCUUGACCAUAUAAUCUGAG
rnacentral:rRNA from 1 species